CUGAAAAGGGUUGAGUCAAAGAACAUGCCUCAGGGGACACCGAAGAUCUGAAUUCAGAUCUAGAUUCACCCAGAUCCCCAGCCCCUAACAGCAGUAGCAGCAGCAGGAACAACGGCAACAGCCAUUUCUAUCCUGGGCUGUCAUUUCAUCCUCCUGAGGAUGGAGAUCCUGGCCUCCCCCAGGAAGAGAGUCGAUCACAUCUCUGAAAAGUGGAAAGAGAUAGGGCAGCCCACAUACAGCUCCUGGUGGCAGCUGCCACUCUAGACUGUGUUCAAAGAACCAAUUGCAUGAAUGCAGAAUGAGGAACCCCUGGCUUAAUGACAGCUCAUGUCCUGAAAGUCCCUUGGCCAAGAUGAGUACGAGCCAACAACACAUUGCAGUCACGACAAAAGCUAACGCACCUGUAAGGUGCUGCGCUGACCAGGGGAAAUGAGACGGGCACCCAUGGGCAUUUGGGCGGGUCAGGCCACAUCUGGAGCUUCAUUCAACUCUGGGUACCAUGUUUUAGUAUUUGACGCUACUCAGCAUCUGGGGAAAGAGAGCCAGGAAGGUGAGGAGUCUAGAAACGGUCAUGCAAGGAAAAUCGGGGAAUCUAGGCUUGUUCGCCUGGAGACAAGAAGAUGUGGGGACAUGGGACAUGUCUUUACAUACUGAAUGGCUCUUGUGAAGCAGAGGGACCCAGGCCAGUUAUACAGUAUUCUAGGAGGAGGUUCCUGAGUCGCGGCUCCUCGCUGAUGAUGGCAAGCAGCAGUCUCAGGCUUCAGGCGAGGGCACACUGUUGGUUUUGCAGCAUUCAUCCUCUCUUUUUCUAGUAACAACACCCAGGUUUCCUUUGCGAAACCAUUUUAGCCUCGCUUUGUCCAUGGUUCUAGGGGUGGGCUUGUGACUCAGGCCUGGCCUAGUGCUCCAUCUCUUCGACCACGGUAAUUUGUUCAGGGAUGGGCGUGUGACCCAAGCCAGAUCAGUGAGUGUCUAUCCCUGGCAUUUUGUGGCAACUACCAAGCAGAGACCGUCUCCUUCCACUAGGAUCACGAAACCGGCAGGAUCGAAACCCGGGGAGCUGGUUGCGGGACACCAGCUUGCCAAGGUGUGAGAGGAGCCAGCCUGAGAAUGAAGUCAACACAGUAUAUAGAGCCAAGAAAUGGAGACAGAAAGGUCUGUGCUGGUGCCACGUAAACACCUGGAUCCAGCCAUGACUGAAGCUUGUUUGUGACACGACACAACACAAUCCCCUUUUAUGCGCUCACCAGUUUGAGGGAGGCUUUGUCAUCUGCAGUCAAGUGUCCUAACAUGUCAUAUCUACCUUUCUGUGGGUCAGGAACCUGGGGACAGCUUAGCCAAGUGCUUCUAACAAUAAAACCGACCAACCCACCGUAAAGCCAACCAAGCAUCAGCAGGCGUUGUGGUCACCUCAGAGGCUCAGCUGAGGAAGAAUCUGCUUCCAGCUCACUCACAUGGCCGUGGACUCACCUCAAGUCCCUACUGACUGUUGGCUAGAGGCAUCUGUCCCUUACCUCACGGGCCCCACCCAAGGACUGUGUCACGUGGCAGCUUGCUUCCUCCAGAGUGAGGCUCUGAGAGAGGGAGAGAGUGCAACCAAGUCAGAAGCCACAGACAGCCUUUUUGGAACCAAUCUCAGAAGUGAUAUCCCUUAACUUCUGCUGGAUUCUGGUCGGUACAAGGAAGUUAGUGAGCCCAGCUCACACUCAAGGGGAGGGCAUUGCACAGGAGAGACACCGAGAGGCAAGGAUCAUGUGAGCCAUCCUACCGGAGCCUGCCGACCACAAAGGGCAAAUGGGUAGUUAGCACAUAUGUGGCGACUACUGGGAGAGGCCAGGGCAGGCUCUCGCAGGAGCUCCAGAGAAGAAUGCUAGCCUCUGCCUGAGGAGAUCAGGGAGGGCUUCCCAGAAGCAGCACCUUUGGGUUGAGACUUGGAAGAUGAGUGGGAGAUAUCCCAGGUGGCCGAGAAGGUAUAAGAGCAUCCCAGGCAAAGGAAAAGUAUGUGUGAAACUCAGAUGUGUGAGAAGUCUUGGGUUCUGGAAGCAAGACAGCAGAGGGUAAGACGCAAGGCUAAGGUGGGAAAGGCCCGCUCCUGAAGGACUUGCUUGCUCUCCCAAGGAGUUGGUGCUUUAUCUUGGAGGCUAUGGGGAGCCAAGCCUAGCUUUCAGGAGAGUAAGAUGACCAGAUUCGUGUUUGAGCUGGCUACGUGGAGGACGGCAGGAGCCCAGGUGGGAGGCAGGGGACCAGUGAGGAGGCUGUGGCGGGUGCCCAGGUGAGUGUGGGGCCUGAUCUGGCGUGAGGUAAAUGUGACCGAGGGGGCCUUUAUGGUGUCAGUGGAAAGGGAUCCAGCCUGUGUGUGUGAAUGGAGGGGAAGGAGUGAGGGGGAAACAGGAAUGAGUGGAGGGAGGGGACUCCACGGAUACCUGUCGACUGACUAGGCCAGUGGGGAGCGGGCUGCGCCUUGCUCCUGCCUCAUGGCAGCGUUGGCAGGUUGGCCCAGCAACCUUGGGAGCCUGGGAAGAGAGGGAGAAGAUGUCCACCACCCCUUUGGGUCCCUGGUUUGGCCCCAUGUGUGAGUCCUGUUGGUGGUGGUUCUUCUAUACCUCUUAGAUGCCUCCCCAUCUGUGGCUUGCAGCCAAGGCUCAGCAACGGACCCGGGGCGGAGAACUCUCCAGGGGCUUCGCAAAUUCUCCCUCGAAGCCACUCCAGCCACUGGCAGAGUUGGACUCACCCUUGCCCUUCUGAAGUUCAUGAAAGACCUUUCAGCCUUGACCUAACUGUCACUGAUCUCCCAGCUCAUCACCUUCUCCUUCUCUACGUGACUGUGGGCAAUUAUUUGAGGAGCCAGUCACUGUGGACGGGAAGAGCCGUGGACAAAACGGAUGGAAGUCCUGAUGGAGUUUACCCUCCAGCUGGGAAGGGGUAACAAGCCAGAUGAACCAGAUGCACAGUCCUUUUUAAAGAGAAGUCAGGAUGUGGGUAAAAAUGUGAAAUAAUGUGGAAAACACACCCACGUGCAUCUCUUCCCUCUCCUGCGGUCCUGCCCGGCCUCCACCUCCCGCCCCGCACCCUGGGGGAGCCCGGCCAGGCGGCCAGGUGCACACUCUGGGUCACCAGCCAGCGGCGGCCUUGGCGCCUGGGGCUCUGCGGGAGCAGCCGGGCCAGCUGCUCCCUUGGCUCGGCCUGCCUUCCUGCCAAGCUCUUAACACACUUCAUCUCAGCGUAAUCCUUGCAAGUCGGCGAGGCGGUGCUAUUAUCUGCAUUUCCUAGAUUUAAAACCUGACUCACAAAGCGUUGGAUAACUUGCCCAAGGUCGCAGAGUGGGUCAAGAGCAGAGCCAAAUGCAGACCUCUGCUGUUAACCUGUGUGCUGUGCCGCAGGCCUGGGGCUCUGGGCAGCUCUGCCAGACGGCUUGCUGUGUGGUGGAGCGAGCUCCCUAACCUCUCUGGUCUCCUAUCCCCUCCUAGGUAACAAGGUGAAGCACCUGGGGAGAAACCCACCUUCCUGGAUCUGGGCUGAGAGCUCCACAUGGAUCUGAACAGUGCAGAGGACAGUGGGACCCUCACCUCCAUUGAUUCGCCCAUUCAUUCAUUCAUUCAUUCAUUCCACACACAUCGACUGAGCUCUCUCUAUGCACCAGGCACUGUUCUAUCUUGUGAUACGCAUAAUAAUCCAGGGUCUCCACUUAACAAAGGGAGGAAGACAAAUCAACAGAGAAGGAUAACGAAGUAUAUUCUCAUCAUUCACAUGUCACCAGCUCUGCGAGGAUGCCCUAGGCCAUGUUACCGAAAGCAUCUCUCCACAGCCACUCUCUCUUCCAUUACCUUGUUGUUUCUUCAUAUAAUGUAUUGCUGUCUGAAGUUCUCUUAGUACUUAGAAGUUCCAUGAGGACGGACACUUUCCUCAUUCUCCUCUGUAUUUCCAGGACGAAGCACAGAGUCAAUGUUUCAUGACUGUUUACUGUUCAUCGGGUCAUCGGAAUGAAUGAAAGUGGGGUAGGCAUCAUGGUCAACACUUGCAGGGCUGAGCAGCGCGGGGAGCCAAGGGAAUGAUUUCAGCAGGAGGAGAAGGGGCAUGUGCGACAGUUUGAGAAACGGAGGGGAAUCUACUUCUUUGGCCAAAGAUCACACUAUCAACACCCUUCUCACCCAGAAGCGAUGUGACCAGGACUGUGGAACAACGACCACAGGGUUUCCAGGUGGAGAUUCUGGCCCCAGCCCUGACUGAAGAGAAACUAGAGCCAGAGGGUCCGAGCUGGAGGGAGCCCCUGAGCUCACGGAGGCCAGCACUUAGAGUGUCCCUGCUUUAAAGAGGCAUACCAAAGAGAUUGCGUUUCCUCCAGACUAGCAGUUUAUCUCCUCUAAUUUGGCCUAAGCAAAUAAUGACAAGUGAGAGCAAAGGCGAGUCCAAGGACAUUAAUCACGGCGGUGUUGAUAAGGGCAGCGGCUGUAAGAGCCUGCCCAACCGCAGGGGAAUGGUUCCUAGAGACUGAGUCACAUGACGGAAUAGUACGUACUCAUCAACAUGCAUGUGGAGACCUGCAUGUUUACAGAUUUGAGAAGGUACUUGAGAUGUAUAUUUUCAUGAAAAACCACAUUUCCACGGACGCCUGGGUGGCUCAGUCAGUUAAGCGUCUGCUUUUGGCUUGGGUCAUGAUCCAUGGGUGCUGGGAUCAAGUCCCACCUUGGGCUCCUUGCUC